AUAGAGGGGGACUUGGGCGGCCUUGGCACCAGCGGUGGCAGUGGUAAGGAGGACGAAAAGGGGGAAUCCGGGACGACGUCCGGUGCUACUGAUGCUGCUGGUGCUGCUCGUAGUGCGAGUAACGCGGAAGAUGGGUUCCAAGAAACGAUCCGCAAGACUAUGGAGCGGAUACAAGCGUCUGGGGACAAAGCUACCGCUGCGGCGACGGGGGAUGGGGGCGAAGACGACGAUGAUGUACUCAUGCGGUUGCUGAAGGCGGUGGGCUCUAGCGCUGCCGGUCAAGCGGGCGCUGGUGAGGCCGACGACGAGAGCCUCGAUAAGCUCUUCAUGGGAAUUAUGGAACAGUUGUCGAAUAAGGAUAUGCUCUACGAGCCGAUGAAGGAGCUGAAUGAUAAAUUCGGUCCGUGGCUGCGGGAGAACCGAGACAAGGUACCCAAAGAGGAUCUGGAGAGGUAUGAAUUGCAGGCUACCAUUGUGGCGGAGAUUGUGGCCAAGUUUGACGAGGAGGGGUAUUCGGAUGACAAUCCGGCGGAUAGGGCUGCUAUCUGGGAGAAGAUGCAGAAGAUGCAAGCCGCGGGGAGCCCGCCUGAUGCCUUGGUGUCGAAUCCGCUGGCGGAUGAACUUGGGCUGCCAGGCGCUUUCGCUGGCGUGGG
rnacentral:sRNA from 2 species